rnacentral:rRNA from 1 species
UACGUAGGGGGCUAGCGUUGUCCGGAAUCAUUGGGCGUAAAGCGCGUGUAGGCGGUCCGGUAAGUCCGCUGUGAAAGUCGAGGGCUCAACCCUCGAAUGCCGGUGGAUACUGUCGGGCUUGAGUACGGGAGAGGCGAGUGGAAUUCCUGGUGUAGCGGUGAAAUGCGUAGAUAUCAGGAGGAACACCUGUGGCGAAAGCGGCUCACUGGACCACAACUGACGCUGAUGCACGAAAGCUAGGGGAGCAAACAGG